UAAAGCCCCAGUCUGGGAUAUGAAAGCAGAAGGUUCUUUUUACAGAUUGCAUCUCUGUGUGGCCCUGUCAUGUGGAAGUUCUGCCAUGUGCUUGAGGAUCUCCGCCACGUGCUCCAUGAUUGCGCUGAGGGAAGCGAGUUUGUAGAAUUUGCUAGAACUGGCUAUUAAACGUGCAGAUGAUUUAAAACAAACAAACAACAAAAAAACUCUGCAUUUACAAGCUCAAUUCCCUGGUGUUGCCCAGGCUUGGCUGCUCCUGCUGACCAGCCUGCUGAGGUUUGGACAGAGUUCCAUGCUAGGUCCUACCCUGUAAAGGUGAGUUACUACUCUGGCAGCAUGUUCUUGAAUAGCACCUUCCAGGUCAGCACAUGUCAAGGAAACAACUAAAGAGCCCCUCUCCCAUCCACUGUAUCUAGCCCUAGGUUUGGCAUGCAUAUUAUCACAUCAGUGCGGUUGAAAGUGACUGGAGAUCAGAGAUCCGCAGAGUCUUGGAAAUUUACCUCCUGCUACAAUGACUGCGUAUCUGUGUCCUUAGAAUAUUAUAAAUUAUAUUCUGGUAAAUAUAAGGGGGCAUAAAGACAUGUGAAAAGUCCACAAGGAAUAUCUUCCAGACCGCAGUGCCCUGGCACCCAUGGAGCUGUGUGAAGAGAGUGGUGAACUGGCACAGUUACAAAAGUGGGUCAACUAACCUAUUAGGUAUUCCAGGUCAGGUACUAAGAAGCAAUAAGCUCUCAACAUUGCUUACACUACAGAUGGGUAAACUUCACGUACUGGCGUUUAUCCCCAACUACCCUGCUAAAGGAAUGUGCUCCAAAAUGGCUUGUGCUGUAGUGGACACAGUCAAGUGCUUUUGGUGGAGGAAAAUAAGUCAGUAACCCCCAAAAGGUCCAGUAUUAAUGGAGCUAAUGCUUCCCCUCCCAUACCUAAUGCAGUAACUAUUCUCUAGGGUAAAGUUUAAUAAAGAAUCAGCCAAGCCCUUGUGUAGCUUGUGGUUUGGCUUCCUGCCCCCUCUGCUCAUCAAGCAGGAAGUUCUCAAAAGAGAGCGCUUUGUGAAGCUACCUUAAGACUGCCUCUUUUUUUCAGUCAAAACUUAGCAUCAGGCCAUCUGGAACUCCUGGAAGCUGACCAGUCAGACUGAUGGUGCCUACAGGAGAUAUUUAAACAACUUCUCUACCUUGAUCAUUUUCCCUCAUCUUUUGUCCUGUACAUCCUUGACUGUUGUUAUUCAGUACUGAGAUACUAUGCUCCUGAUAUCACUGAGAUGGGAGAGACAAGCAAGGAAAAAGAGAUUAAAGAGAGAAGAAGGAAGAGAAGAUGCCAAAGGCAAAAUAAGAGGGAAGAAGCAAAAUAUUUCUGAGAUUUAUUUACUUUACCUACUCGGGAUGCAACGUUUCAGAAAUUCUGAAUAUACUUAAUUUUUCUGGUGUUAUCACAGCCACCAGACAACAGGGAGCCAUGGGCACCCUCUUUCCACUAGCUUUCAAGAUACAUCCAGGAAGCCCAAGGAGGUUCUUGGCACCUGUAAGCAGGAGUAGGCUUGAAGAGAAACUGCUCAGAGCAGGCUGGAAAAACAGUAUAGUUACAAAGUAUUUUUCUGCUUCCCUCUGCUGGCCAGACAACACACAUAGCAAUGUAACUACAACCAAUCAGGGAAGGAUCAGGGUGAAGAAUAUCAAAAGAUAGGAGGAGUCAUAUUGUUAUAUUACUACACAAGCUUUAACUCUGCUGAUUUAUUUGAAUUUGCUGUUGCAUUUCAGAAUAUGUGCAGGAUAUUUCUGUGUCCAGGGAAGCUCAAGAAGGCUGGAAAAGGGUCCAUGGACAAAGCUAGGCUGGUGAAAGAUAGGGAUAUGGUAUGGACAAAGGUAAUUUCAAGGUUUAAACUACUAACAUUGCUUUACCAUUUACCUCAUACCAUUAUCAGUUGUGAUUUCAAUGCUAAUUUAACAACCACAAUCUAAACUUAGUUUCUAUUUGUGGUUACAAAACAGGAU
ensembl:lncRNA